GCCAGGCAUGGUGGUGCAUGCCUGUAAUCCCAGCUACUUGGGAGGCUGAGGCAGGAGAAUUGCUUGAACCUGGGAAGUGGAGUUGCAGUGAGCCGAGGUCAUCCCACUGCACUCCAGCCUGGGCGACAGAGCGAGAUGCUGUCUUUA
ensembl:misc_RNA Metazoa_SRP Metazoan signal recognition particle RNA